rnacentral:rRNA from 1 species
UGAACGCUGGCGGCGUGCCUAACACAUGCAAGUCGAACGGGAACCUCAUAGUGGAGACUUCGGUCAAAGCAGUGAGAAUUCUAGUGGCGGAUGGGUGAGUAACGCGUGGGUAACCUGCCUACGAGAAUUGGAUAACAGCGAGAAAUUGUUGCUAAUACAAUAUAAGCUUACAGUAUCGCAUGAUGCAGUGAGAAAAGAUUUAUCGCUUGUAGAUGGACCCGCGUUUGAUUAGCCAGUUGGUGGGGUAGAGGCCUACCAAAGCGACGAUCAAUAGCCGGCCUGAGAGGGUGAACGGCCACAUUGGGACUGAGACACGGCCCAAACUCCUACGGGAGGCAGCAGUGGGGAAUAUUGCACAAUGGGGGAAACCCUGAUGCAGCAACGCCGCGUGAGUGAAGAAGUAUUUCGGUAUGUAAAGCUCUAUCGAUAGGGAAUAAGAUGAAGGUACCUAAGUAAGAAGCCCCGGCUAACUACGUGCCAGCAGCGGC